rnacentral:rRNA from 1 species
AGCUCCGGCGCUUCGGGAGAGUGCCUGCGGCCCAUCAGCUAGUUGGUAGGGUAACGGCCUACCAAGGCAGAGACGGGUAGGGGGCGUGAGAGCGCGGACCCCCACACUGGCACUGAGAUACGGGCCAGACUCCUACGGGAGGCAGCAGUAAGGGAUAUUGCGCAAUGGACGAAAGUCAGACGCAGCGACGCCGCGUGGGCGAUGAAGGCCUUCGGGUUGUAAAGCCCUUUUAUGGGGGAAGAGAAAAAGGACGGUACCCCAGGAAUAAGUCCCGGCUAACUACGUGCCAGCAGCCGCGGUAAAACGUAGGGGACAAGCGUUAUCCGGAUUCACUGGGCGUAAAGAGCGUUGAGGCGGUUCCGUAAGUUGGGCGUGAAAGCUCCGGGCUUAACUCGGAGAUGUCGUUCAAUACUGCGGGGCUUGAGGACAGCAGAGGAAGGUGGAAUUCCCGGUGUAGUGGUGAAAUGCGUAGAUAUCGGGAGGAACACCCGUGGCGAAGGCGGCCUUCUGGGCUGUUCCUGACGCUGAAGGCGAAAGCUAGGGGAGCGAACGGGAUUAGAUACCCCGGUAGUCCUAGCUGUAAACGAUGGAUGCUGGGUGUGGGGGGUGUAAAUUCCCUCUGUGCCGAAGCAAACGCGUUAAGCAUCCCGCCUGGGGACUACGGCCGCAAGGCUAAAACUCAAACGAAUUGACGGGGGCCCGCACAAGCAGCGGAGCGUGUGGUUUAAUUCGAUGCUACACGAAGAACCUUACCUGGGUUUGACAUGCACGUGGUAGGGAACCGAAAGGGGACCGUCCUUCGGGAGCGUGCACAGGUGCUGCAUGGCUGUCGUCAGCUCGUGCCGUGAGGUGUCGGGUUAAGUCCCGUAACGAGCGCAACCCUUGCCCUUAGUUACAAGUGUCUAAGGGGACUGCCCGGGACAACUGGGAGGAAGGUGGGGAUGACGUCAAGUCAGCAUGGCCUUUAUAUCCAGGGCUACACACACGCUACAACGGCCGGUACAAUAGGUUGCGAAGUCGUGAGGCGGAGCCAAUCC